rnacentral:lncRNA from 1 species
GCCAUUCUCCUGCCUCAGCCUUCCGAGUAGCUGGGACUAUAGGUGCCCGCCACCACGCCAGGCUAAUUUUUUGUAUUUUUAGUAGAGAUGGGGUUUCACCGUGUUAGCCAGGAUGGUCUCGAUCUUCUGACCUCGUGAUCCGCCCGCCUCGGCCUCCCAAAGUGCUAGGAUUACAGGCGUGAGCCACCGCGCCCGGCAGCAAAUUUUAAGCCAAGAAAUUGAAUGUUGCCAGAACCCCAGGAACCACCCAGCCUCUUCCCAUAUGACCACUUCCCCACACUCUCCACCUUCCUUACUUCUAUGGUAUUGAUGGAUGGUUGGGUGACAUGGACUCCAGUAUGUGCCAUGAAGGAUACGAAGAUGAAGCUGUCAUGAACUCUGCUCUCGAGAAGCUACUGUCAAAGUUUGUUUUUUUUAAACUUGAUAU